CUUUCAUGAAAGCAUUCAAUGUGCUGUUGAUUUCUUUGAUAUUUUCAAUCUACCACCACAAACAGUUGUGCCACCAUGGAAGACACAGACGUCUGAAGGAAAGAAUUGACACACGGUUGACAAACGACGACACAGGAAAUAUAUAUAUGGAAUGAAAUGAAAAUGAAAUGAGAGAAUGGGUGACGUAGCAAAAAAAAAAAAAAGAAACAGCCUACUGUCAGGCAAGAACGACAAUGAAACGGUAAGGAACAUUACCGGAAUCAUGUUGCCGCGGCAGCCUCUUGUAAUGAAAAUAGAAAGCCACCCUGAUGUUAUUUACCAAGACCAAGACGCUGAAUUUCAAGAAUACGAUGUUUGGGAGCUGUUGAUCAAGAUUUAAUUUCUCAAAAAGACCAACCUGAUGAAUUCAGUUAACGCUAGAGCAGCGGUGUCGUAGAGGGGGCUCAGCCUCCUUUCCUAAAAUUCAGAGAGGUUCUUGAGAGGGGGGGGGGGCGUGAUCGUGAAAUUUAAUUUUCAGUGCCAUGAAAGCGUGAUAACUAUUUUGAUAUCAUAGAUCAAACUAACUGUAACGAUGACAUCGUAAAUCAACUGUUGAAGAAGCUUUUGCUGCUGAAAGCUUCGGCUAGGAAAGUACUCUUGCUCAACAAAAAGGCCUACACCGACAUCACUUGAUUUAAAGACAAGAGUCGAUUGUUUCAAGACGAGUGAUGUUUAUGGAAAUCGAAUAUUGUAGAGUCAUUCUGUUUCUCCUAUGUACUGUUCACGUCAGGAAUAUCACAGACAUCGCGAGAAACCUGACAGGCAUAGUUUUCUCUCAGACUACAGAAAGCAAAGGAAGUCAAUGCCUAUUAUAAAGGGUAGAAAAAGUUUGUCGCCGCCGAGAAAGAGAAUCUCCAAAGUGUGACGUCACCGAAAACCUUUUUUUAGAUUUUCUGAACUAUUUCAUGAUGCUUUUUCAGGUUAUGGGUUCAAAAUUCUAAAAAUAAAUUUAUGUUACGUCAUCACUCAAUUUCAGAAGUUUGUCUCCUGCCUCAACAAAAACAACCAUACAAUUCAGAGGUCCCGAUGAAAAGGACGCCUUAUUAAACAAUGGUAAUUUCUGGAAGCUUUUGUACUCUGUGACUCAGAUUGUAUUGUCCUUGCAAACUGUGGCUCGGUCUUUGGUAGGUCAGAUGGGAGGUAAUACCGCUGAACUUAAAUAUAAGAUACCUAAAACAAAUUAAGAUGACUUAUUUCUGAAAGAUUUUUGUGAUGUUCGUUUGACUUCUUCAGUGUAAGGCAGGAGGGACAUGAAUAGAUCCGAACCCUGAUCCCCCUUUUUCCAAAAUGUGGCAGUGAAAAAUGUUUUACUGCAAUCUUGAUUUCAACAUAUCCAGAAAAGGCGUCUCCCCCCUUUCCGAGGGUCUUUAGGGUGCAGCCCCAGACCUUCUUUAGGCAGGAUUGGCAGUUUUUGGUUAGUUUCGCCCCUGCAUAUAGUCACCAGAGAUAAAGAGAUGUCAAUUCACACGAAAGUAUGCUUAGGAAAGGUAUUAAUUUUUCUCUGUAAUAAUGUACGGUUCGGUUGAAGGACAUCAGGAAAAAUGAGAGAGGGAAGAUCGAUGCGUUUAAGCUGUGGCGUUGCUGUAGGAUACUAAUAAUGCCUCAACAACAAGAAGAGCAAAGAAGUCUUUUAAGAAAAAAAAGCCACAGAUUUCAUAGAAAAGCAUUUUGCCAGUUGUUAAUGCGAGGAAAAGAAGAAAGGAGAGCAGUUUUUUGAAGAGAGGGUGGAAAGGUCAAGCUUGUUAAUAAUUUAGAUUAAUAUAGACACCGGUUCUAGAAGGAUGAGUUGUGGGGCAUUCGUGAAAUUGGCAAAGACACUUGAAAAGGGUGAGCAGUAAUCAUCAUUUCUGGUAUUGCUAUUCAAUUUACUUUUCAGCUUUACUCGCCCUUCCGAUCAUGUUUUUUCUCACAUGAUUCGUGUUAAAUUUAGAUAUCAAUUUAUGUAUAUAAGUAUGUUAAUUCAUAGGUAAUUUUAGUUAAGAUUUCAGUUACAAGUUCCGGUUGGAACGAUCGUCGCAUGAAUCACUGUCAAAUCCCUUAAAAAAUAUUUAUCAUUAUGUCGUCAUAAAAUGAGUAUCGUGAGCAUUAACAAAAUGAAAACUUUCAAGUAGACUAAAACUCCUGCUCUUAAUUCAAAUCUAAGGUCAGAAUUUUUUAAAACAGAAUUUGAAGAAAUGGGUCCAUAAUCGACAACUCUAAAGGCUAUGGACCAAUGAGAGAGAAAGCUGUCAUUCCUUUUUAUAAGUGUGGUGUAGUAUUCACGGUUAGUUAAGAAUAUAAAACUUUGUGUCAGACGUAAUUAAGGCUUUUGAGAUGUCGUGAGAGAUCACUUUACGCUCAUGAAAGGAUUCCAGAGCAAGGGACUAAACAUGAGAUCUCCAGAGAUUUUCAAAACAAAUAAUACGAUUUUCAACCAAAGGUGUUACAGAUUUACACGGGGUGAUUUUCUCUUCAUGUAAUUUACGGCUUUGGUUCUUACGCGUUGCUGCAAUACAGGCCUAAAUCUAUAUGCAGACUGACAGCUUUCUGGUACAGAGACCAAUUGAAAGAAUGCGUCGUCAAUUUAAAUUUUGUUCCCUUUCUUCAGAAUCGUUACUAGAUUCCCUACCCCCUUCCCCCCGAAGUUUCAAAAACUUUCCCUCCAAAACGCUGGCAUUCCUGAACCGUACUGCGCAUGUUCCAUCAAUACACUUUCAAGUCUCGUUUUCAUUUUAAACUUUGGCUGUUCGUAUCUCGAACAAGAGUGACAUACGCUAGAAGAUGACCAGUAGGUAUCGCUUGGCGAAAACCAUACCGGUGAUCAGAAAGGAGUUUUAAUGACGAUGGUCACCAUUGUUAAAGAUAUUAGGAAAUGAUAGAGAUUGACAACAGUUGUGCGGGUCGACUUGCCCCACUCUUUAGGAAUAGGCAGGACGUGGGCUAGUUUUCUGAAGGAUGAAAAUACAACAAGUGAAUACAUAAGCUAAAAAAGUUUAUCAAGAAUUGGUGCGAGUUUUGUGGCAAACGUUUUUUUUGCUGGUAUACAGCGAGGUCUUGUCGAUAUAGAAGUGUUAAGUAGGAAGAGCUUUGCGGAUUUUUCGGGUGAAGAACUUGAAUAAUAACUUUGAUCAUAGAGAAGAAAGGGGAUAACGACAAGGUUGUAAUCAAGAUUUGAAUUUGAGGCGAAGGUGGAUAGGAAGAAACAUGCACAAUUUUUGAGACAACAUUGACCAUUGAUCAAAAGUGCAAGAACUUUAUUGGUGGUUUGUGAUUUAUUGGACAAAACAAGCUUUUGCAUUGUUGAUUUUGGUGCAUAAGUUGGUAACAAGGACACAGGAAGCUCAAGGUCGAGCUGUUUGAGGGUGCAUCCAUUCCCUGAGGUGGGGAUUUUUGUGUUUGAAAGCUUCUGAAAAUUGCAAUAUGAACCACUUACGAGGAGACUUUUUGCAGGGUUUGAAGGAAGAUGAAACAAAAAUUCCAUGUUACAUAGAAUCUGAAGACCAAAAGUAUGAAGAAUAGAAGGUACGGAGAGCAUACAAUCAGCCAGUUUCAUAUAAUAAAAAAGAAAGUCCCAUAUUAUAUACCUCGUGUGUUCCAUAUUAUGUGUUCCUCGGUCAAUUCUCUAACAGGUUUUUCGAACACACCUUUUUCGGCUUUUCAAACUUAAACCAUAUCUGUUUGUUACAUAAGUGACACCUUACUAGGACUUCCCUCGACUUCAUCAAUAUUCCACGAAGGCUUUCAUUUUGGGUCGUGUGCUUCUUAACUGUUGCCUGUAAAGGAGCUUCUUUCUGCGUCCGUAUUAUAUUGGCACUGUAUCCAGAUUGAUACAAUAAAGGGUUAUCAUUCCUACUCCUUUUCGGCUUUUCAGAGUUUUCGAGAAAUAUAAAUACAGCAUUGACGUUAAGCGUUUAGGCAGGCUAAGUUUGGAUCUUGCCCGAAAAUUUUAGCUUUAUUAAAAUAGAACUGUCUGAAUGAACCCUGAAAUGCCCCGUUUCAUCAAGCUAAGGAAUCUUGCGAUUUUCAUUGCAAAACACUUUACUAAUCUAACUCCCGAUUAAGAGUAGCGAGGAUGUCCACAGUCUGGAACUGCCUGAUCCUCGCUACAUCAAAUACAAGUAGAGAAUAUACACCUGUUUUUAUAAAGGUACCCUUACUUAGGUCUUGUGAUUGCAAUAAACACGAACAAAGAGCAAAAGGCUUCAAGACCAGUGUUUUUCUAUUGACAAUGAUUUGACAAAGGAACACAGAAAUUUGAUUUAAAAAAAUAGUCUUUCAGAAUGGGUUAAUUUUUUUUAUCUCUAACCCAAUCUGAUAAAAUAUGUUUCAUCAAAAGUGCGUUUCGAUAUAUCUAAUGCUAUUUGAUUCUAAAAAACCAUUUUCACCAACCUGCUUUAUCUGUAUAGGUGCACAUGCUUUUGGAGUCCAUAAUAAAGGUACAAAGAUAUUAGUACAAAGGUUUCAGUAUUCCCAAGGAAUGAAUAAGACCCUUCCUUAUUGCUAACCUGUAAUAGUUCUUUUUUAUUUGGCAAAUGUAUAUUUCAAAUAGGUAACAAUUUGUUUGCGAAGAUAGUUUACCGAGUGGUGGAACAGAUACUGACUGCAUGUCACAUCGAGGUGCAUUCCAAUAUAAAGUGUAUUUAUCUAUAUCAUACAACAAUAUCUUCACCAUUACAUAGAGGAAAGUAUAAUAGAGAUAAUUGCUUGGCAGUUGAAGAGCAGGCACAGAUUGAAAAAGCAGGCACAGAUUGAAAAAGCAGGCACAGAUUGAAAAAGCAGGCACAGAUUGAAAAAGCAGGCACAGAUUGAAAAAGCAGGCACAGAUUGAAAAACAGGCACAGAUUGAAAAACACAGAUUGAAAAACAGGCACAGAUUGAAAAAGCAGGCACAGAUUGAAAAACAGGCACAGAUUGAAAAACACGCACAGAUUGAAAAAGCAGGCACAGAUUGAAAAAGCAGGCACAGAUUGAAAAACAGGCACAGAUUGAAAAACAGGCACAGAUUGAAAAAGCAGGCACA